rnacentral:rRNA from 1 species
ACGGGUGGAGUAACGCGUGGGUAACCUGCCUUAUACAGGGGGAGUAACAGUCAGAAAUGGCUGCUAAUACCGCAUAAGCGCACAGAGCUGCAUGGCUCAGUGUGAAAAACUCCGGUGGUAUAAGAUGGACCCGCGUUGGAUUAGCUUGUUGGCAGGGUAACGGCCUACCAAGGCGACGAUCCAUAGCCGGCCUGAGAGGGUGAACGGCCACAUUGGGACUGAGACACGGCCCAGACUCUACGGGAGGCAGCAUG